ensembl:lncRNA
UGUGCUAACCUGCAGCCAGGAACGUGCAUUAACAGCAUGGAUCUGUGUUACCUCCGCUGCCCCCGAGAUGCUGUCAGUGACAAACUGGAAGGAGGGCAUCGCUGUUACACCUGGCUGUGGGAAGGGGAACUCAGCCCUGGGCUGGGAUGGAGCAGAGAGAGGCACAGCUCAUGAUAAAUCUUCCAUAGAGCCGUGGCAAGAGCAAAGAGCUCCUGCAGCACAAUGUGUUGUGUAGGCAGAUCCUGCUCCUAGGAGGGGCCAGGCUAAGAGGGAAUUGGGGUAGAAGGGAAAGUCAUAAUUUCCCCUUUGAGGACAGAUCGGAAAGGUGCUGCUCGUCCCAGGCUGAGCAGGGUGUGCUCUCUGUGCGUUUGGCACAUCUCUCAGCUGCAAAAAGGAGGCUUUAACACCACACUGCUUCUUAUAAUCAGAAUGUUCAAUUAAAACUCGCUCCAAAUGGUGCGAGGGGUGAGGCUGCAUAGGGAAAGGUGAGCCAAAUUUCUCCAGGAUUAAACACAGUGCCAAAAGAGCACCCACAGCUCCCGGGCAGGGGAGGGUGCUCACAACGGGGAUGUGCUGUAGGUGUACCCAGAGAUGUGGGACACAGAAGGGAAAGGCCUGAAAGUAGAAGAAGAAAAGUAUUUUCAAGGGUAAAAAAAAAAAUACCAAAGAAAGGAGAACAAGGAGAGCUGUGGGCAGACAGCGAUGCUAUAUAGAAAGCAGAGGUGGCACGGUUGGGUAAUGGAAAUAGGGCAAACUGGGGAGCUGGGAAAGGAGGAGAACUAAAUUGCUCGAAAUGAGUCUCUCCUGUGUUAUGUCCUGAGCUGCCAUUUCCAUCUGUGUGGAGCGCUGAAUAUAAGCAAAUGGAUUUACACCAAGCAGAGAUAGGAGUAAGGGCCUGGCAAGGAAGAGUAAAGCACGGAGCAAUUCUCUUUUCCUUGGAGCCUCGCUUCUGGAAACAUUCCCAGUCCUUGGCGUAUUCAUCAGGAUCGUUACAAUUCUGCUGCCACAAAGAGGGAAGUAUCGUGUUCUCCUGUUAUUUAUUAGCAUAUGCUGGACUGUGAGGGACCGUGGUGGGGAGGGGAGCCCUGCUGUGAGGGGCACGGGGUAAACACAGCCGAAAUGACAGCAGCAGGCCUCAUCACAGAGCGUUAGCAAUUCAAACAGCCACGUCAGGCGGAGAAUUUGAGAGACGGAUGUAACACAAGCAAAGGAAGAACGUGGCAGUUUGCAAACAGUGUUUCGAAGUUUCUUAAUGUUAAAAAGGAAGAGGAAAGAAGCUGUUUGCAGAGGUGCAUCCACUCUCUUCCACUCUUGCUAUGCUCGGUGAUCAAAUGGGAGCGGUCUUUCUCAUGUUUCUGCUCCUCAUUUGCCUCCUGCAUGUAAGAUUAUAACAACAUCUGCUCCGAACCUCUGUAGGCAUCUACACAAAGUAUUCCCCCUCCGGUCCUCCCAGAGCACACACCCGAUGGAAGGAGAAAAAAAUGCCCUUUCCUACAACUCCAGCCAGCCCGUCCUGCUUGGACCAUCCACGCUGUUCUGCCACCCUUGGAAUUCUCCCAUCGUAGGUGGUGUGUUGCCUGCCUGGGAGCUCCUGCAGCCCUGCCUGCGUGGAGGAACAAGGAUGUGAUAAUACCGGGCCCUGGAGCUGCAAAUGCAGAACGAACCAAGGAGUAAAAGAAUUGACAAGACAAGCAGUGGUGGGAAAUGGAGGGAAGACUGUGAAAAAGGUUAUAAUAAAUAAUAAGAAAUGUUGCAUGGGCCAAAGGAAUAAUAGAUCAGCGAUGGAAAGACUCUAAAAGCUGCUGAGGGUUAUUUAUUGAUGGACAUUGUUUAAAAGAAAAAAAAAUCAGUGACAGUUUUCCUUCGUGUUCACCAAGGCAGAUGGCGGGGCAGGUGCCAGAAUGAAAGAUAAAUUUCCUUUUGCAUAAAGAAGAAAUAUUGAAGGAAACUGAGCAGAGGUGAUGGAGAAAUUAGAGCGUUGAAAGACCCUGAAAGCACGCGGUCCAUGUCAGCCCUCUCUCAGGAUUUUCAGCUGAGUCAGCAGAAAGCAGGAAAAACUGUUGCGGGAAAUGAGAACCUCUUUGAAGACCAGUAAUGGAGAGGUUCCUGCAAGUGUCACGUCCAGAGGUCUGAGGAAAGCCUUCCAGGAAUUAAAGUUGGUGGUGCAGAAGGUACCUCCGCGUGGCUGAGUGGCCAACGUGCAUCGUAAUCUGGGACUGCAGUAGAGACAUAGUUAGAAGUUAUGAAUGUAAUGAAGGGAAACCAUCAAAGAUUCAGAAAUUGGAAGCUGGGCCAAUAAUGGGAGAGGAAAACGGACAGAGGGUUUCUGAGGACUUUGUGCAAAUCAUGAGCCAGGGAGAGCCAAGAGAUACAACUUGUGCAGUGGCAGCAAAGGUUGGGUGUAACACGUUCAAAAAGCAUAACAUGGAGUGGAAGUGAUGAGUGUGGGACAUGGAAGCGCCUGGUGGAGCUCUGAGCUGGUGGUACACACAGAGCUGCUGUGAGGAUGCAUUGGUUUCUGUUGCCUUGGCUGUGAGCGGGGGGUUGGGGGGGUCUGUGGGCACCGGAGUGAAUGUAACUGAGGUACAAGAGAGACAUGAGGAAAGGAACAAACCCUGCAGGAGCUGAGGGCACCUGGCCUGGCUGGGGAACCUGCAGGGUGGGUCCAUCCCAAGGCCAGCAGCUGUGCCUCUGCAACAUGUGCUAGGGAGUUCUAAUUAACAGCUCUCCAACCGUCCCUGCAGUGGGUGAGUGCAAAUUAGACGGCUGUUGUAAACAUGGUGAAUCAGACUUGCCAACGGUUAACCAGGAGGAAAACCGUUUAUCUGAGAGUGGAGUUUGUUUUUUGGGGGGCAAAACAGCAUCACUGUGGGUCUGUCCCCAUGGCCGUUCAUCUGAUAUCCAAACAGCAUUAAAUCACUCAUCGUUUUGCUCACAGUCAGCAGGUAAUGGGGGCUGACAGGAAGGAUCUGUUACUGCGUGUCCUCACGUCUUUGUUUCAGGGAAGCCUCCUGCCCUCCUACAGCGGAGGAACGUGGCAGCCUGCACCCACGUUUGCGCACACAAACCCCACCCUGUCGGCUGAAACCCCUCAGAAAGUCCCAUCGGGUGAUGGCCGUGACGGGGUUGUAGGGGGCCUUCAUCAGCCCUCAGCUGGGGGGUCUGCGGUGUAAGGAGGGAGCGAGGAGGGAGGUUCUCCAGCACAGCUGC